rnacentral:rRNA from 1 species
ACAGUUGGAUCCUGCCUCGCAUGGGAAGCUGUUGGCGGGCUAUUCCAUGCCAGUAUAGCGGAAACUACCUACUUGAUGCAUCCGAGAUGGAUACUCGCGUCCAGAGUAGGACGGGUGAGUUGGGCUUCGGACAUUGCCCUGAUGUGGGGGAUCACCGUUGGCGCCAAUGGCUAACGCCGGAUGACGCCUACGGACCGGACAGGGGGACCUGCCGGCCUCCCCCCCUUCGACCGGCCUAUGUGGGAUUAGCUCCCUGGAGAUGCCAAGGUUCCUCGCUGGGACAAUCCGUAAAUGGUCGGACACGAUGAUCGACUUAACUGGAACUGACACACCGCCAACAGACCACCGGCAUGCAGCACCGGGCAAUAAUGUCCCAAGGGCGCCAGCCCGAUGCUGGCAUGCCCUCUGGAUGACAAAAGCCUUCAAGGUGCUUCGCACUUUCUCCAAUUAAGAAGGUUGCUCCACCACUUGCGCAUGGCCCCGACAAUUCCUUCGAAAUAUACUCCUGCUACCUCCCUGCCCACGCCCGCUACUUUACGGAUGGUGUCAGAGUGCCUCGGAUCUACGGCACAACCUCCGCAUGCACGUGGUUUGUUGAGUGAAAUGUGAAAGCAUGUAAUCCUGCCUGCUAAUAACAUUUGAACCUGGGAGAGUAG